CAGCAAAUUAAUAAUUAUUAUUAAGUUCAAAUUGACAUGAAAUACAAGUACCAGAUUACAAUCAUGCGGACGAUCACGCUAAUAACGCUUAGUAUACAAAUUGACUAUUUCAGACCAUGUGGUAUUCACAUCUUUUAUCAUUCUCUGCAUGCAAUUCAAAGGUAAAAUGCAUAAAUACCACGAGCGAUAAAAAAAUUGAGAAUUGCAUCAUCUGACAGCAACAUUCUGCGUGCAAAAAUGAGAGGUCCAUUGUCUUUAUGUUAAAGGACUAGCUUUAUAUAAAUAGUAUCUUUAGUCUGACUUGUGUUCUUUUUUCGCUCUCAAUCGAUGUAUAUAUUCUUGGAUAAAAAAGUUGGCAAACAAUAUCACAAGAGAAACAGCAUAGCAGAAAAACAAACCAAACACCCAGUGUGGAAAUGUACAAUCUUUCAUAGUUAGUGCAUGUGAAAUGUAGAUCAAUAAAAGGAUGAAUUGCAGC